rnacentral:tRNA from 1 species
CGGGGUGUAGUUCAGUUGGUAGAAUGCACGCAUGGGGUGCGUGAGGUCUCCGGUUCGAAUCCGGACACCCCGA